UACAGAGGUGGCAAGCGUUGUUCGGAAUUACUGGGCGUAAAGGGCGCGUAGGCGGCCUUCUAAGUCAGACGUGAAAUCCCCCGGCUUAACCUGGGAACUGCGUCUGAUACUGGAAGGCUUGAGUGCGGGAGAGGGAUGUGGAAUUCCAGGUGUAGCGGUGAAAUGCGUAGAUAUCAGGAGGAACACCGGUGGCGAAGGCGGGUCUCUGGGCCGAUACUGACGCUGAGGAGCGAAAGCGUGGGGAGCAAACAGG
rnacentral:rRNA from 1 species